rnacentral:rRNA from 1 species
UACGUAGGGCGCAAGCGUUGUCCGGAAUUAUUGGGCGUAAAGAGCUCGUAGGCGGUUUGUCGCGUCUGCUGUGAAAACCUAAGGCUCAACCUUGGGCUUGCAGUGGGUACGGGCAGACUAGAGUGUGGUAGGGGAGAUUGGAAUUCCUGGUGUAGCGGUGGAAUGCGCAGAUAUCAGGAGGAACACCGGUAGUGGAGCGGAGCGGUGGU